rnacentral:rRNA from 1 species
GACGGAGGGGGCAAGCGUUGUUCGGAAUUAUUGGGCGUAAAGCGCGCGUAGGCGGUUACUUAAGUCGGAUGUGAAAGCCCUCGGCUUAACUGAGGAAGUGCACCCGAAACUGAGUAGCUAGAGUACGAAAGAGGGUCGCGGAAUUCCCGGUGUAGAGGUGAAAUUCGUAGAUAUCGGGAGGAACACCUGUGGCGAAAGCGGCUCACUGGACCAUAACUGACGCUGAGGCACGAAGGCCAGGGGAGCAAACGGG